AUGACCGAUGAUGAGAUCUGGUGAUGUUGAAGUGGUACUCGAUGAAUGCCAAGUUCCGGAAAUCUCAGGUCAAU